CGACACAAGGAGUGGGAGGGAUCUCACCCGAACGGGCUGAAUUCAUUGGUGCUGGAAUCCGAGGAAACUGUUUUUGGCCAGAGGACGUGCAGCGAUAGGCUCACCCAGGGGAAAAGGAGGAAUGUUUCCGUACUUCGGCUCGGCUGGGCUGCGGGUUGGAUUUGUCUCUGUAAUCCUCCUAGGUUUAUCUUCAGUUGUCCGCAACCUGAUUAGCUGGGAGAAGACCGUCGCUGUCCUCUUGACCUGGAGGGCCGAAGACUUCCAGAUCCUUCGAGGGCUUUGUGGCUAGAAAAGCCUUGAGGUUCCAAUUCGGGCUGAAGGAGAAGGGCAGAGUCCAGGAAGCACUCAUCUCAAAGCCCCGGUCCUGGAGAUCAGCGGGAGAUUCUGUCUUUUUCGAGAAACUGACAGGCAUGUCAAUUGUGGGGGUGCCAAGCCAGGCCCAGCCUGUCUGUGGCUUCUCUUACAGGCCAGCCUUAAAGUCAUGAGCUGGUCAGAGUUCAGAAUCGGAGGCCAGCCUAGCUUGGCAAGGAAAUCCUUGUCAGGAGCACCAUCUGCAGGUCAGUCAGGAAUUAGCCAGGAGGCUGAUGGGUUGGGAGGUGGAAGUGACCUCAUCCCCGAGACACUCCCCUUUUCUUAGCAGUGUGGCCACAGCCUGGCUGAAGGAGGCCUGUGAGCUGUGGUCUGAGGAAACCUUCCUAGGCCGCCGCCAUUUCAGCCAGCAGGGGGCUGGUGCCAACCUCCAUAUCUGGCUCUGUGGCUUUUGGCUAGUCAUUGCUCUCUGCAGGCCAAUUUUCUUAUCGGAAAACAUUUUUUCCUCCUCCCUCCUAUUAUCCCUUCCAGACAAAAAAAGAUGAUAAAAUGUUAUUGGUGAAGGGACACAUUGCAUUGCAGAGUUUGGAAUGUGGGGCUUGGUUGGGGCCAGUUCCUGACUCUAAUGCUGAUGGGCUGGGUGGCUUCCUCUGAGCUGCUUAAUCUCUCUGGGCCUUGGUUUCCACAUUUGUAAAAUGAGAGGUUUGCUGAGCUCUUCCAGUUCUAAAUUUCUGAUGCUAAGGGUCUGACCUCAUUAAAAGAAAAAAAGAUGCAGGAAAUUCAAAAUGCUAUUAGUGUUAAUUAUCAUUGUCUGCGACAUUGAGGACUUCCUUGUUUAUUUCUGCCUUUGACAGGGUCUCAGAGUCCAAGGAAGCAGCAGGAGUGUAGGUAGAUAGGAAGAACGGUGGAGUCCUUGGGUAUAAAACACUAGCACUUGGUACAGUCAUUUUCCAGGGAUGGUAAUGCAUUCAGAUCAGAGUCCCCAAGCUUUCUUCUCAAAGCUCAAGAUUCUCUCAAGGAUGAUCUCACUGCUCUCUGAAACAAGGUAGGUGCGAGGGAUCCUAGAGAAGCAAGGGAACUUAUCCAGUGACCAAAGUCCAAGUUCCUCUCUUUAUAGAAGGAAACUGAGGCUCAACUUUUUCAAAAACUCUUAGCUGAUGUCUUUGUAUCAAUUUUAAGACAGAAUGAAUGGCAAGACUUAGGUAGUGGAUGUUAAAUUAUUUGCUCAGGAUCACAUAAAUAGGAAAUAUCUGGGGAAGGAUUUGAACCCAAUUCUCCCAACUCCAGGCCUGGAGCUCUAUCCACUGGGCUACCUAGCUGACCCAGAGAAGAUUUUUGAGUAAUAGCUCUUUUUAAACCUUUACUUUCUGUCCUAGUAACAACUCUUAAGAAAGAUAAGAGCUAUGCAAUUAGAGUUAAAUGAUUUGUCCAAGGUCACACAGCUAGAAAGUAUCUGAGGUCAAAUUUGAAGUCCUCCUGACUCCAAGCCUGGCACUCUAUCUAUCUAGCUGUUCCUUUUAACUUACUUUUGAAGGUCAUAAAACUAUCAUCUACCAUACUUUUUCAGAGCCUAAGAGUCAUGCCAAAGGGAUAAUAAUCAAUUUUAAAUUUUUUUGAGCUUCCAGUCCACAGGGAGUGAGUGACUGGCUAUUUAAAAAACAAAAUACAUUUGGACAAAUCAUUCAAACAAACUUCUUAACUACUUAAGGAGUAGUUAGGGGAAGUUCCACAUAUGGGACAGCAAAAAAGAUGAAGUAGCAAGAACUGAAAAAUUUGGGUUUGCAGGGGCUAAGAAAAGAAUCAGGAAAACUCCAAGUACCUUGGGUAGUCAAAGCAUCAAAACUUAGAAGCUGAGCUUGGUAAAGCUCUGCCACUCACUCAACUUUGAUGAUGGGUUUCAGUAAGCAUUUUUUUUUCUCCAAAGAACCCUCCUUUUAUUUCUUGCUUCUCCCUCUAAAACAAAUUUCGGUUUUGUUUCUUCUCCUCCUCACCUUCCUCCUGGACUCUGCCCCUGGGACCCUGGACUCUAAGAGGUGACUUCCUGGCCAUUUCCAAACCAUGCAAGGUGCACCCUCUCCCUACCUUCAUGAGCUAUCUUUCUACAAUAAAAGUAAGAUAGGUAGGUGUUAUCUUGCUUGCUUGAAUUUGUAUCCCCAACAUUUAGCACAGUAUAAGAUCUUCAUAAAUGCUCAUUCAGAUGAACAGGAGGAUCUCAGAAAGAGCUGGAGAGAUCUUCAUGAGCUGAUGCAGUGAAAUGAGCAGAAAUGGGAGAACAUUGUACACUGUAACUGAAACAUUGUGGAAUGAUCAGCUGUGAGAGACUGAGCUACUCUCAGCAACACAAUGAUCCAGAACAAUUCUGAGGGAUUUAGGACAAAGAAUGCUCUCCAUCUCCAGAGAAAGAACAGUUAGAGUACGAAUGCAGAUGAAAGCAGAUGAUUUACCACUUGUUCAUAUACUUUGGGGGUUUGGCUUUAUAAGAUUUGCUUACAAAAAUGAACUAUGUGAUUAAUAAGCACAUGAAAAAGUGUUCUAAAUCUCUGAUAAUCAGAGAGAUGCAAAUCAAAACAACUCUGAGGAAUCACCUCACACCUAGCAGAUUGGCUAACAUGACAGCUAUGGAAAGUAAUGAAUGCUGGAGGGGAUGUGGCAAAGUAGGGACAUUAAUUCAUUGCUGGUGGAGUUGUGAAUUGAUCCAACCAUUCUGGAGGGCAAUUUGGAACUAUGCCCAAAGGGCGAUAAAAGACUGUCUGCCCUUUGAUCCAGCCAUAGCACUGCUGGGAAUAAGGAAAAAGACUUGUACAAGAAUAUUUAUAGCUGUGCUCUUUGUGGUGGCAAAAAAUUGGAAAAUGAGGGGAUGCCCUUCAAUUGGGGAAUGGCUGAACAAUUUGUGUUAUCUCUUGGUGAUGGAAUACUACUGUGCCCAAAGGAAUAAUGAACUGGAGGAAUUCCAUGGGGACUGGAAUGACCUCCAGGAAUUGAUGCAGAGUGAGAGGAGCAGAACCAGAACAUUGUACACAGAGACUGAUACACUGUGGCACAAUUGGAUGUAAUGGACUUCUCCAUUAGUGCCAAUACAGUGAUCCUGAACAACUUGGACACUAUCCAUAUUCAGAGAAAAACUGGGAGCAGAAACACAGAAGAAAAACAACUGCUUGAUUACAUGGGCUGAGGGGGAUAUGAUUGGGGAUGUAGACUCUAAAUGAACAUCCUAGUGCAAACACUAACGUGGAAACAGGUUCUGAUCAAGGACACAUGUAAUAUCCAAUGAAAUUGUACCUCAGCUACGGGAAGGGUGGGGGUAGGGGAGGGAGGGAAAUAAUGUGAUUCUUGUAACCAAGAAAUAAUGUUUGGAAUUGACCAAAUAAAAUGUAAAAAAAAAUGAACUAUAUGGAAAUUUUAAAUAAAUGCUCAUUCACUCA